UACGUAGGGUCCGAGCGUUGUCCGGAUUUAUUGGGCGUAAAGAGCGUGUAGGCGGCUAGAUAGGUCCGUUGUGAAAACUCGAGCUCAACCUCGAGACGCCGGUGGAAACCAUCUAGCUAGAGUCCGGAAGAGGAGAGUGGAAUUCCUGGUGUAGCGGUGAAAUGCGCAGAUAUCAGGAAGAACACCCGUGGCGAAGGCGGCUCUCUGGUACGUGACUGACGCUGAGACGCGACAGCGUGGGGGAGCAAACAGG
rnacentral:rRNA from 1 species